rnacentral:tRNA from 1 species
UUAGAUGAACUUUAAUUAAUUCCACAAGCA